rnacentral:rRNA from 1 species
GAUGAACGCUGGCGGCGUGCCUAAUACAUGCAAGUCGAGCGAACAGACGAGGAGCUUGCUCCUCUGACGUUAGCGGCGGACGGGUGAGUAACACGUGGAUAACCUACCUAUAAGACUGGGAUAACUUCGGGAAACCGGAGCUAAUAACGGAUAAUAUAUUGAACCGCAUGGUUCAAUAGUGAAAGACGGUUUUGCUGUCACUUAUAGAUGGAUCCGCGCCGCAUUAGCUAGUUGGUAAGGUAACGGCUUACCAAGGCAACGAUGCGUAGCCGACCUGAGAGGGUGAUCGGCCACACUGGAACUGAGACACGGUCCAGACUCCUACGGGAGGCAGCAGUAGGGAAUCUUCCGCAAUGGGCGAAAGCUUGACGGAGCAACGCCGCGUGAGUGAUGAAGGUCUUCGGAUCGUAAAACUCUGUUAUUAGGGAAGAACAAAUGUGGAAGUAACUAUGCACGUCUUGACGGUACCUAAUCAGAAAGCCACGGCUAACUACGUG